rnacentral:rRNA from 1 species
AGCGGAGUUGGNAGAAGCUUCAGCGAUGGAGCGGGAGCCGACNNNGCGGCGAACGGGUGAGUAACACGUGGGCAAUCUGCCCUCUGGAGCGGGAUAACAGACCGAAAGGCUUGCUAAUACCGCAUGAGGCCGACAAGUCGCAUGGCUAGUCGGUCAAAGGGGAAACCCGCCGGAGGAGGAGCCCGCGUCCCAUUAGCUAGUUGGCGGUGUAACUGACCACCAAGGCGAUGAUGGGUAGCCGGCCUGAGAGGGUGAACGGCCACACUGGAACUGAGACACGGUCCAGACUCCUACGGGGGGCAGCAGUGAGGGAUUUUCGGCAAUGGGCGAAAGCCUGACCGAGCGACGCCGCGUGAGCGAAGAAGGCCUUCGGGUCGUAAAGCUCUGUCUAGGGGGACGAGAACGGACGGUACCCCUGGAGGAAGCCACGGCUAACUACGUGCCAGCAGCCGCGGUAAUACGUAGGUGGCGAGCGUUGUCCGGAAUUACUGGGCGUAAAGGGCGCGCAGGCGGCGCGUUAAGUCCGGGGUGAAAUCCCACGGCUCAACUGUGGGGGGACCCUGGAUACUGGCGUGCUGGAGUGCGGGAGAGGGAAGCGGAAUUCCACGUGUAACGGUGAAAUGUAUAGAUAUGUGGAGGAACACCGGUGGCNNAGGCGGCUUCCUGGACCGUAACUGACGCUGAGGCGCGAAAGCUGGGGGAACGAACAGGAUUAGAU